AGGGCACCACCAGGAGCGGAGCCUGCGGCUUAAUUUGACUCAACACGGGAAAUCUCACCAGGCCCGGACACUGGAAGGAUUGACAGAUUGAGAGCUCUUUCUUGAUUCAGUGGGUGGUGGUGCAUGGCCGUUCUUAGUUGGUGGAGCGAUUUGUCUGGUUAAUUCCGGUAACGAACGAGACUCUGGCCUACUAACUAGACGUUAGAUCCUUUAUGGGUUUGACGAUGCUUCUUAGAGGGACGGGCGGCUUUUAGCCGCACGAGAAUGAGCAAUAACAGGUCUGUGAUGCCCUUAGAUGUUCUGGGCUGCACGCGCGCUACACUGAAGAAAUCAGCGUGUGUUCCCUAUCCGAAAGGUUUGGGAAACCCGUUGAACCUUCUUCGUGAUGGGGAUUGGGGAUUGUAAUUAUUCCCCAUGAACGAGGAAUUCCCAGUAGGCGCGAGUCAUAAGCUUGCGUCGAUUACGUCCCUGCCCUUUGUACACACCGCCCGUCGCUACUACCGAUCGAGUGAUUUAGUG
rnacentral:rRNA from 1 species